UAAUGCCGGAUGCUCCAGUUGAUCGCAUGGUCUUCUGGGAAAGCUUUCGCGGUAUGGGAUGGGGUCGCGUCCUAUCAGCUUGACGGCGGGGUAACGGCCCACCGUGGCUUCGACGGGUAGCCGGCCUGAGAGGGCGACCGGCCACAUUGGGACUGAGAUACGGCCCAGACUCCUACGGGAGGCAGCAGUGGGGAAUAUUGCACAAUGGGCGCAAGCCUGAUGCAGCGACGCCGCGUGAGGGAUGGAGGCCUUCGGGUUGUAAACCUCUUUUAUCGGGGAGCAAGCGAGAGUGAGUUUACCCGUUGAAUAAGCACCGGCUAACUACGUGCCAGCAGCCGCGGUAAUACGUAGGGUGCAAGCGUUAUCCGGAAUUAUUGGGCGUAAAGGGCUCGUAGGCGGUUCGUCGCGUCCGGUGUGAAAGUCCAUCGCUUAACGGUGGAUCCGCGCCGGGUACGGGCGGGCUUGAGUGCGGUAGGGGAGACUGGAAUUCCCGGUGUAACGGUGGAAUGUGUAGAUAUCG
rnacentral:rRNA from 2 species